rnacentral:rRNA from 1 species
AUUGAACGCUGGCGGCAGGCUUAACACAUGCAAGUCGAGCGGAGCGAGGGUGCUUGCACCUUAGCUUAGCGGCGGACGGGUGAGUAAUGCUUAGGAAUCUGCCUAUUAGUGGGGGACAACAUUCCGAAAGGGAUGCUAAUACCGCAUACGCCCUACGGGGGAAAGCAGGGGAUCUUCGGACCUUGCGCUAAUAGAUGAGCCUAAGUCGGAUUAGCUAGUUGGUGGGGUAAAGGCCUACCAAGGCGACGAUCUGUAGCGGGUCUGAGAGGAUGAUCCGCCACACUGGGACUGAGACACGGCCCAGACUCCUACGGGAGGCAGCAGUGGGGAAUAUUGGACAAUGGGGGGAACCCUGAUCCAGCCAUGCCGCGUGUGUGAAGAAGGCCUUUUGGUUGUAAAGCACUUUAAGCGAGGAGGAGGCGCUCUAGGAUAAUACCCUAGAUGCGUGGACGUACUCG